UACGUAGGGGGCAAGCGUUGUCCGGAAUCAUUGGGCGUAAAGAGCGUGUAGGCGGUCCGUUAAGUCUGCUGUGAAAGUCCAAGGCUCAACCUUGGGAUGCCGGUCGAUACUGCCGGACUAGAGUUCGGAAGAGGCGAGUGGAAUUCCCGGUGUAGCGGUGAAAUGCGCAGAUAUCGGGAGGAACACCUAUGGCGAAGGCAGCUCGCUGGGACGUUACUGACGCUGAGACGCGAAAGCGUGGGGAGCAAACAGG
rnacentral:rRNA from 1 species